CAGGCUGAAAUUCGCCUGCACGAAGUUGGAAUUGCUAGUAAUCGCGGAUCAGCAUGCCGCGGUGAAUACGUUCCCGGGUCUUGUACACACCGCCCGUCACACCAUGGGAGCUGGUAACACCCGAAGUCAGUAGUCUAACCGCAAGGAGGACGCUGCCGAAGGUGGGAUUAGCGACUGGGGUGAAGUCGUAACAAGGUAUC
rnacentral:rRNA from 1 species